rnacentral:rRNA from 1 species
GUAGGGGGCUAGCGUUAUCCGGAAUUACUGGGCGUAAAGGGUGCGUAGGUGGUUUCUUAAGUCAGAGGUGAAAGGCUACGGCUCAACCGUAGUAAGCCUUUGAAACUGAGAAACUUGAGUGCAGGAGAGGAGAGUAGAAUUCCUAGUGUAGCGGUGAAAUGCGUAGAUAUUAGGAGGAAUACCAGUUGCGAAGGCGGCUCUCUGGACUGUAACUGACACUGAGGCACGAAAGCGUGGGGAGCAAACAGGAUUAGAUACCCUGGUAGUCCACGCCGUAAACGAUGAGUACUAGCUGUCGGAGGUUACCCCCUUCGGUGGCGCAGCUAACGCAUUAAGUACUCCGCCUGGGAAGUACGCUCGCAAGAGUG